UACGUAGGCAGCGAGCGUUGUUCGGAGUUACUGGGCGUAAAGAGUGCGUAGGCGGUUUUCUAAGUUUGGUGUGAAAUCUCCCGGCUCAACUGGGAGGGUGCGCCGAAGACUGGAAGGCUUGAGUAUGGGAGAGGUAAGCGGAAUUCCUGGUGUAGCGGUGAAAUGCGUAGAGAUCGGAAAGAACACCAACGGCGAAAGCACUCUGCUGGGCCGACACUGACACUGAGAGACGAAAGCUAGGGGAGCGAAUGGG
rnacentral:rRNA from 1 species